UAGUACAUGAUGAAUGUAAACUUGGCAC
rnacentral:piRNA from 1 species